AUCUACAGUGUUUCUUUAGCAUCUGGCAUUUCUAGCUUCCCCUAUUCUGCUGGGAUGACCUUGGAACCAGAUCCUCAGGCUGAGGACUUGCACCCGUGGUCCUGCAAGUGGAGGAAGUCCAGAAAAGUGGAGACCUGCACUUUCUUUUGGCCUGGACUUGCUGGCAUCCGUGCCUGACUGGAUUGACCAGAGGAUGAAAUGCAAGUCAGUGUUCAGAGAAGUGAUCCCGCAUGGUCGGAUCCCAUAUUAGCCUGCGACAACUGCUUUCUUUGAGAAGGAUCCAGAAUUGAUGUCAGUAUAAGCAUCCAUCCAAUUGCUGCACUUCCUGGCUUUAAGGGACUUGGAUGACUACCCAGAACUUGGCAACUCCAGCAGACUGUUCUCUGCCUUUACCUUUUCCCCAUUCUUCGAGACACUAGCAGGGGUGGUGGCAGCAGCACAGGCUUAUUUCUCUAUCGGUAGAACCCUACUUGUUCUCCCCGGUGACUUCAACCUUUCAUUGGACAAGCUGCCAUCAUUCUGCCUCCCACCACGGUUUUAUUAUACUUUUGACCUCACUCUCAAGCAGUCUCCUCUGACACAGAGCAGGCCAGCAAGAUCUUCCACACCAGGACUGGUGUCCUGCUCAGUAACAGGAGAGAACUAAGAAUGGUUGAGAGAAGAUGGAGAAAAUCCCAGCUUGACUCAGAUCUGUGCUCCUCCCGAUCACAGUUCUUACUUGAUAUAACUGCUGCAAGGUCGUACUUCUCUUGCACCACCCUCUUCUAUUACCUCAAAGGAUUGUUUUUAGAGGAAAAAGACUGGUAGAGUUUCUGUCCCCUUAAUGCCUGCCUUAUGUUCUUGCAGCAUAGCACGUGGUCUUUUGGCAGAGUAGUGUAAACAGCUGCUGACAAUCCAGAGCCAGGACCAGGCCGCAGACAGUCGGGCUAAACCGACCGUCUGCAAUCUGCCUUGAGGCGUCACCCAGGUUCAACUUUGAGACUGUCUUUGCCCCAAACUAAAUCUAAAUGUAGAAAAACGCAAUCAGCCCGUUUCAACAACCUAAUCAAUAUUAAAUCAUAUUCAGAUUACAGCAACACCUGAGAUCUAAAGUUUGGGUUAUUCAUUAUAAGAUCACUGAACUUGAAAGCAGUCAUAAAUGAAAUUGUGAUCAUAAAUUUGACAUUUUCUGUCUCAUUGAAACAUGGGUUAGACGAGAUGAAUAUUCAGCUUUAAAUGAAGCCAUCCCUGUAGGCAAAUCUACCAAAAUACCCUAGAUAUCACCUACGGCCCCCGACUGAUUGUUCCUUUAUUGUUAACAUUGGGGGCGGCUGUACAGAAGGCCGGGACUUUUAUUGUAGAAUCGCCUGAUUUCGUGUUUAGAGUUUCUUGUUUCAUCAGCCUGUAUUAGCAACGGAGCUGUAUUUGUUGGGCACGCUCCGAUUUAUAGUCUAAAUCUUACCUUCAAGCGGAGUUCCCUUUAGUUCUUAAGUAAUGGUGGUGGCAUUUCCUCACAGUCAAUGACGAGAAGUAAGUCAUGUUGUUGUUUCGCGGGUAUCUCCUUUUCGUUUACUUGUCUG